CAAGGAGCGGAAGGUUGUGCUGAGCGCUGGCGGCACAAGCGAAAACCCGCAGAUUGUCGUGAAGCAUGCCGGGUCACAGCAGACUAUGAAAGUGUCAUCAAAGAAACGAAGGGGAAGGAAACGUAAAGCGACGACGGAGGAGGAUGAAGCUCUUUUCGUCAAGCUGAAGAAAGGAGACGCCAUUGAAAGAACAAAGAGGCAAGAAGAGAAUCUUCAAAAGAUGAAGGAUGGAUUAGCUGAUAUGAGUGGCACUUCUUGUUCCGACGAGCUGAGUGCCCGCUGUGGCAUGUGCCACAAAGCCAUCAAGCUCCCACAAGAAGGGCAUGGGAGGGAAGAGUAAAGUUCUUCAAGAAGACUCACUACGAUAAGUGCUCGACCAAGAUGCCCGCCAGGGAAAGAGAGCGGCAGCUCAUGGAGAAAUCCAAGGGCGCCAUGGCCUCCUGGUUGCAGUCGAGUGGCAGUGCUACUUCAAGUCUCGAUGCAGUUGGAGAGGAGGUGUUCCCUGACAUCAACAGCUCAGGGGAUUUUCCACCAGUGGAUACCACUAUGUAAGAUAUUGUAUAGUAUACACGCAUGUAUGUUGUGCUUGAAAAAGUUUUAUCUUAGUGCUUUCAUGGAUCACAUGUACGUUACACCAUAUUAGUAAUCUUAAGUCUUAAAUUUAAGUCUGCGUAUUUCUGAUUGCUGAUUAACUUACUUUUAAAUGAAAUCAGUAUUGUGCAAAAGACAGUCUCUGCAGUUGAGUAUUUCAGGAUCUUUGAGUUUUGCAAGAACUAAAAGUAUCAAGUUACGCAUUAGCAAACCGGGUACUGUAUUCUUCACCGGUACCGUUACGAAGAGUAUAACAACUAGAUAGAAAGCUAUGAUAAGAAGAAAACUAAUCAACUUGGUUAUCUUUAGUUUUUUGUCGUCCAUGUCGAGCUAGCUCAAGUACUAUCCUGUAACAUUUGCGACCACUAAAUGUUAGUGAAACUAUACACUGUGAAACAAUUAUUUU